rnacentral:rRNA from 1 species
CAAAGAGAAGCAAAGCCGCGAGGUAGAGCAAAUCUCAAAAAAAACAUCUCAGUUCAGACUGCAGGCUGCAACUCGCCUGCACGAAGUCGGAAUUGCUAGUAAUCGUAGGUCAGCAUACUACGGUGAAUACGUUCCCGGGCCUUGUACACACCGCCCGUCAAACCAUGAGAGUUGGCAACACCCGAAGUCGGUAGUCUAACCGCAAGGAGGACGCCGCCGAAGGUGGGGUUGAUGAUUAGGGUUAAGUCGUAACAAGGUACC